AUUGAACGCUGGCGGCAUGCUUUACACAUGCAAGUCGAACGGACUUUGGGGCUUGCUCCAAAGUUAGUGGCGAACGGGUGAGUAAUGCAUCGGAACGUGCCCAGUUGUGGGGGAUAACGUAGCGAAAGUUACGCUAAUACCGCAUACGACCUACGGGUGAAAGCGGGGGAUCGCAAGACCUCGCGCAAUUGGAGCGGCCGAUGUCGGAUUAGCUAGUUGGUGGGGUAAAGGCUCACCAAGGCGACGAUCCGUAGCUGGUCUGAGAGGAUGACCAGCCACACUGGGACUGAGACACGGCCCAGACUCCUACGGGAGGCAGCAGUGGGGAAUCUUGGACAAUGGGCGAAAGCCUGAUUCAGCAAUGCCGCGUGAGUGAAGAAGGCCUUCGGGUUGUAAAGCUCUUUCGGACGGGACGAAAUGGCAUCCGUUAAUACCGGGUGUCGAUGACGGUACCGUAAGAAGAAGCACCGGCUAACUACGUGCCAGCAGCCGCCGUAA
rnacentral:rRNA from 1 species